UACAGAGGGGGCAAGCGUUGUUCGGAAUUACUGGGCGUAAAGGGCGCGUAGGCGGCCAACUAAGUCAUACGUGAAAUCCCUCAGCUUAACUGGGGAACUGCGUGUGAUACUGGAUGGCUUGGAUUUGGGAGAGGGAUGCGGAAUUCCAGGUGUAGCGGUGAAAUGCGUAGAUAUCUGGAGGAACACCGGUGGCGAAGGCGGCAUCCUGGACCAAUAUUGACGCUGAGGAGCGAAAGCUAGGGGAGCAAACGGG
rnacentral:rRNA from 1 species